CAGCCGCCGCGGUAAUGUGUAGGUGGCAAGCGUUGUCCGGAAUUAUUGGGCGUAAAGGGCUCGCAGGCGGUUUCUUAAGUCUGAUGUGAAAGCCCCCGGCUCAACCGGGGAGGGUCAUUGGAAACUGGGAAACUUGAGUGCAGAAGAGGAGAGUGGAAUUCCACGUGUAGCGGUGAAAUGCGUAGAGAUGUGGAGGAACACCAGUGGCGAAGGCGACUCUCUGGUCUGCAACUGACGCUGAGGAGCGAAAGCGUGGGGAGCGAACAGGAUUAGAUACCCCCGUAGUUCCUGUCUCUUAUAC
rnacentral:rRNA from 1 species